UGCUCGGCUCCCUGUAUGCCA
rnacentral:miRNA from 1 species